GGAUCCAGACUUUGAUCAUGGCUCAGGAUGAACGCUAGCUACAGGCUUAACACAUGCAAGUCGAGGGGAAACGAUAUUGGAAGCUUGCUUCCGAUAGGCGUCGACCGGCGCACGGGUGAGUAACGCGUAUCCAACCUGCCCAUCACUUGGGGAUAACCUUGCGAAAGUAAGACUAAUACCCAAUGACGUCCAUAGAAGACAUCUGAAGUGGAUUAAAGAUUUAUCGGUGACGGAUGGGGAUGCGUCUGAUUAGCUUGUUGGCGGGGUAACGGCCCACCAAGGCGACGAUCAGUAGGGGUUCUGAGAGGAAGGUCCCCCACAUUGGAACUGAGACACGGUCCAAACUCCUACGGGAGGCAGCAGUGGGGAAUAUUGGUCAAUGGACGAGAGUCUGAACCAGCCAAGUAGCGUGCAGGAAGACGGCCCUAUGGGUUGUAAACUGCUUUUAUAAGGGAAUAAAGUGAGUCUCGUGAGACUUUUUGCAUGUACCUUAUGAAUAAGGACCGGCUAAUUCCGUGCCAGCAGCCGCGGUAAUACGGAAGGUCCGGGCGUUAUCCGGAUUUAUUGGGUUUAAAGGGAGCGUAGGCCGGAGAUUAAGCGUGUUGUGAAAUGUAGACGCUCAACGUCUGCACUGCAGCGCGAACUGGUUUCCUUGAGUACGCACAAAGUGGGCGGAAUUCGUGGUGUAGCGGUGAAAUGCUUAGAUAUCACGAAGAACUCCGAUUGCGAAGGCAGCUCACUGGAGCGCAACUGACGCUGAAGCUCGAAAGUGCGGGUAUCGAACAGGAUUAGAUACCCUGGUAGUCCGCACGGUAAACGAUGGAUGCCCGCUGUUGGUCUGAAUAGGUCAGCGGCCAAGCGAAAGCAUUAAGCAUCCACCUGGGGAGUACGCCGGCAACGGUGCAACUCAAAGGAAUUGACG
rnacentral:rRNA from 1 species